rnacentral:misc_RNA from 1 species
AGCUCUCAAGCGAUAAUAACUUUAUUGUUGUUAUUUAGCUUGGAUUUGGGACUUGCUGUGUUACAACGGCUGUCCCUAAAUGCAUUAGCCGGCUCUAAUGGAAGACUUGGUUCUUACUCGGUGUGAUAAUUAUCUUACGCUGAGGACAUUUCCUGUAAAAAGGGAGAUGGCCAGGACUAUCAUUAGGCUGCUUCUAAUCGUCUCUUCUGACAAAUUAACAUUUCAA